rnacentral:rRNA from 1 species
GACAGAGGUGCCGAGCGUUAGGCGGAAUUACUGGGCGUAAAGCGCACGUAGGCGGCUUUGUAAGUUAGAGGUGAAAGCCCGGGGGCUCAACUCCGGAAUUGCCUUUAAGACUGCAUCGCUAGAAUUGUGGAGAGGUGAGUGGAAUUCCGAGUGUAGAGGUGAAAUUCGUAGAUAUUCGGAAGAACACCAGUGGCGAAGGCGACUCACUGGACACAUAUUGACGCUGAGGUGCGAAAGCGUGGGGGAGCAAACAGG